UGGGGAAUAUUGGACAAUGGGCGAAAGCCUGAUCCAGCCAUGCCGCGUGUGUGAAGAAGGUCUUCGGAUUGUAAAGCACUUUAAGUUGGGAGGAAGGGCAGUUACCUAAUACGUGAUUGUUUUGACGUUACCGACAGAAUAAGCACCGGCUAACUCUGUGCCAGCAGCCGCGGUAAUACAGAGGGUGCAAGCGUUAAUCGGAAUUACUGGGCGUAAAGCGCGCGUAGGUGGUUUGUUAAGUUGGAUGUGAAAUCCCCGGGAUCAACCUGGGAACUGCAUUCAAAACUGACUGACUAGAGUAUGGUAGAGGGUGGUGGAAUUUCCUGUGUAGCGGUGAAAUGCGUAGAUAUAGGAAGGAACACCAGUGGCGAAGGCGACCACCUGGACUAAUACUGACACUGAGGUGCGAAAGCGUGGGGAGCAAACA
rnacentral:rRNA from 1 species